AGAACGAACGCUGGCGGCAGGCCUAACACAUGCAAGUCGAACGAUAAGCCACCUUCGGGUGGUGGACAGUGGCAGACGGGUGAGUAACGCGUGGGAACGUACCUUUCGGUUCGGAAUAACCCAGGGAAACUUGGGCUAAUACCGGAUACACCCUUCGGGGGAAAGAUUCAUUGCCGAAAGAUCGGCCCGCGUCGGAUUAGCUAGUUGGUGGGGUAAAAGCCUACCAAGGCGACGAUCCGUAGCUGGUCUGAGAGGAUGAUCAGCCACACUGGGACUGAGACGCGGCCCAGACUCCUACGGGAGGCAGCAGUGGGGAAUAUUGGACAAUGGGCGCAAGCCUGAUCCAGCCAUGCCGCGUGGGUGAAGAGGCCUUAGGGUUGUAAAGCUCUUUUGCCAGGGAUGAUAAUGACAGUACCUGGAGAAUAAGCUCCGGCUAACUCCGUGCCAGCAGCCGC
rnacentral:rRNA from 1 species